GAUGAACGCUGGCGGCGUGCCUAGUACAUGCAAGUCGAGCGAACGGACGAGAAGCUUGCUUCUCUGAUGUUAGCGGCGGACGGGUGAGUAACACGUGGAUAACCUACCUAUAAGACUGGGAUAACUUCGGGAAACCGGAGCUAAUACCGGAUAAUAUUUUGAACCGCAUGGUUCAAAAGUGAAAGACGGUCAUGCUGUCACUUAUAGAUGGAUCCGCGCUGCAUUAGCUAGUUGGUAAGGUAACGGCUUACCAAGGCAACGAUGCAUAGCCGACCUGAGAGGGUGAUCGGCCACACUGGAACUGAAACACGGUCCAGACUCCUACGGGAGGCAGCAGUAGGGAAUCUUCCGCAAUGGGCGAAAGCCUGACGGAGCAACGCGGCGUGAGUGAUGAAGGUCUUCGGAUCGUAAAACUCUGUUAUUAGGGAAGAACAGAUGUGUAAGUAACUGUGCACAUCUUGACGGUACCUAAUCAGAAAGCCACGGCUAACUACGUG
rnacentral:rRNA from 1 species